CACUGGGCCCCACGCAAUAGAUCCCUCGAACCGUGUCAGGACGGGAACGUAGCAGCACUAAGAGGAUCCUUCUAUGUGACGUGGAUACACCUGGUGUCC
rnacentral:SRP_RNA from 1 species